rnacentral:lncRNA from 1 species
CCUCUUCUACCUCAUAGGAUUUUUGUGCGGAUUAUAUAUGAUGACAGCUGCAGAGUACCAAGCAGAGUAACGGGUGUGUGGUGGGCCUUCAAUUAACGAGACCGAGAGGAUUGGAAUUAUGCUGUUAAUCUGCUUCCAUAACAAAGCACUUUUAUGAGCUAUGGCCAGAGAGUGGACAUGGACCAGUGCACAGGGAAUCAACGUGCAAAACUUUACCAAAUGUUGUUGGAGGAUGAAUAUAAAGCAGGAAGUCAAAGAGUUGAAGAGCACGGAGUAGUGGAGCAUCCAGUUUUGUCAAAACUUGCUUUUUAAGAGACUCCAGAGUUGAGGAAGUUUUUAUACAAUGCAACUGGAUGCCUGAUGACUAGGCAACCUGUGGAUACUGUCUCCAGCAUAGUAUCUCCAGUGAAAUGUUUACGUAGAAGAAUGCCACUGUGUCUUGGAAACAAGAAAGUGAAAUGGUGCAGCAAUGAGUGCGGCUUCAUUAUUCUUCCAGUGAAUGGUGAGACCUAGAGGAAGGAUGCUAAU